rnacentral:rRNA from 1 species
GACGUAGGGGGCGAGCGGUAAUCGGAAUUACUGGGCGUAAAGCGUGCGCAGGCGGCUUUGCAAGACAGAUGUGAAAUCCCCGGGCUCAACCUGGGAACUGCAUUUGUGACUGCAAGGCUAGAGUACGGCAGAGGGGGAUGGAAUUCCGCGUGUAGCAGUGAAAUGCGUAGAUAUGCGGAGGAACACCAAUGGCGAAGGCAAUCCCCUGGGCCUGUACUGACGCUCAUGCACGAAAGCGUGGGGAGCAAACAGG